GCUUUCCAGAUCUGAGCGAUUUCCUAAAAGAGAAUUACUGAAAGGCAAAUAUACGUGAAAGCUGAAGAGCCAGGGGCAAGGAGUUAGAAAUACUGAAAAACCCCAAUGCUUGUUUUUCACUCCUUAAGUGUGAACUGUUGGAGGCACACAGGAGACCACGCAGAUGGUUAGUGGUUAACUCCUCUGUAUGUAGCAUGGGAAGAAGUCAGUGCACUUGAUACAAGAGCACAACUCAGUCCCCAGGGAGCAUACAAGGAGUGUUUGUUAGCAGAGGAAUGAGAUAAUCAUUCAUUCCCCCUGCUGAUCCUGGAAAACCACCUGGUUCCAGGGACACCGCUCCACACUCUUCCCUUCCCCAAGCUGAUGGCAUUCAGCUCUUUGACCUACAGAGGUAUGUCAACGUACAGCAGCACAGGGCAUCAUACAAGGAGUUCCUUUGUCACUGCGGUGGUUUCUGGCUUUCCUAAACACCCAGCCUUUGCCAGAAUCCCUGCAUGCACAAGCAUUCCGUGAUUUCCAGGAGGAGCAGGCUGCAGCCGGCCUGCAUGCCUCUCCAGCUUCCUCCCAGAGUCCCUCCCAGGGCAGGAGGAGCCGCAGGGCACAAUCUGGAUCCUCCCCAUUCCCCUGCCUUACUGGGAGCACGUGGCAUGGAGUUCUGUUCCCGUCUGCUUCCACGGGGAUGGAACAGGAAAGCAGUGAAGGAAGAGAAUCAGCAAGAGACUGCAUCAGCAGUAGAAGAAAUUGGAAAAAGAUGAAGGAGAGUAGAUGGAGGUGAAGAAGAAGAUAAAUAACAGAAAAAGGUGAAAGAAAAUGCAACCAGAGAAAAACAGAAAGGAGGAGGACAGGAUGAGAGAACAGGAGACUGUACUGUGUGAGUAUAUUUUGAUCUUGCUGCAGUCCAAGAAAUUACCUACAAUAUUUCUCUGAAAAUUGCAGUUGUUUGUCGGCGAGAAAGUGAACAUUAGGUCAGUUAACCUCAUUUCUAUGACUAAAACUUGCAUCUAUAUUAAGAACAAUUAAACCUCAGGCAAAAUCUAGUAACAUAAAUAUUUGCCAAACAAAAUAUAAAAGGUCGCAAUCAUACCAUGCAAUGAGCUAGUCCUUCAGGGAAUGGAAAAAACAUGUCCUAAACUGCAGAGACUUCAAAGUAAAUGCAACAAUAUUAAAUUACAGUAAUAAAUGUCAGCAGCGUUGACUCAUAAUGUACUUAGGGAAUUGACUACCAUACCAUACAUCAGUAUUUAAAAUUCACAGAAAUUUGUAAAAUUCAAUGCAUUCAUAAAUACCUACUGAAUAAAGCCUGGACCAGGGGUUCAACCACAGAAGAUCUGGCCCAGUCCAGCAUCAGCUCUGUGCUAAAGGGUUAUAUCACCUGGAAACUUUGUUGGCCUUUAGCAAAAAUAAAUAAAAUAACAGCUUUCACUUAGGAAGACCCUUCAUAAAGAAAUCUUUGAAUGCAUCUUAGCAUGGUAUGGUUGCUCUAUUUAUUGACUGUAUAAAUAAUUUGUAGCUGAGGCUUAAGUCAUAACAGCCAGCGUUUCAUUUAAAACAUAAACAUAUUAUCUGGCCAUACGAAAGGUCACACUAUGCUUUGUGAUUUGAUGGAGAAACUGUUUGUUUCUUCAGUGCCAUUUGAUUUUAUGGGAUUUGAUUAAGUUAUGCUGGCUGUUAGCUAAAUAUUAUGACUGUGCUGAUAAUGUUCUUUCCUGAAGAUUGUCCUAUUUAGAAAGUUUUCAGUAUAAUUAAAGAUAACAUUUCAGAUUAUGGACUUUUUAAAACAAGUCUUGGGUGAAAAAAUGUGGAGAUACAUAGUAAAAUCUACUUGUAAGAUUAGUAAUAACUUACACUGGCUAGCCAUACCUUAUAAAAUCUAAUUAACUUUGAUUUUUGUUGUUUCAUUGAGUUGUUUCACCUCAUGAAAAUCAAGUUUGUAAAGAGACUUCAUCUACGAUUGUUAUAUGUAAGUAUAAGACUUCCUUGUUGAUUUUUUGUUAAUUUAAUAGUUAGAAAAAUAAUGUUUUAAAAUAAAUCUUUUAGAUCUGUCUUUAUCUUUUCACGGUCACAGAUGACAAGCCCACAGCAACUGUAGUGCUUUAAAAUAUGCCUUUACAGGUUAACUUCUUACCCCUUUCAUUUUGAAGUUCACCCCACAGAAAACUUUGCCUUGCCCACCAAUAUGCCUCCACACUGCACGUUGUUGCAAGAGAACACAAAGAAAAGAAGGACCAGAAUGCAUGAAUUUGUGAACUUUGUCAAGUCUCCACAAACUCUGCUUCUGAGGACUUCAGCAGACCAUCUACCGCUGUCCGAGUGAAAGGUUCACAGUGUUUCGGGAACAUCCUCUGUGAAGAUCAGGGUGCAUUGUGUUGUUCAAGAGUGAGUGCUGUCAGCUCGCGCUGCCAUCCAUAGGAGUCGAGAUGGAAUUUAGCCUUCUGCAAAAUGUAGACAAGUGGUCCUUUGAUGUAUUUGCACUAAACGAUGCCAGUGGAGAUCAUGCACUGAAAUUCAUUUUCUAUGAACUUCUCACACGCUAUGAUCUGAUUUCAAGAUCCCCAUUUCUGUCCCGGUGUCCUUUGUGGAAGCACUGGAAGUUGGAUACAGCAAACACAACCUAAUGCACGCUGCAGAUGUGACACAGCAGUCCAUUACCUCCUUCUCAAGACGAGCAUAGUAGUACAUACAGGAGUUGGCAUCCUUAAUAUAUAAUGAGAUUACAGUAGUUUUUGUUCACUAAGGAGAUGAUCAUUAUCCACAGUAGAGUCCAAUUGUACUGUGGAAAAAUGUAAUUGGCAGUGGCUGUGCUAAUGCAAGUAGAGAUUUGGGAUUAUUUAGAAGAAUUUGGGUGAGGAUAUGGGUAACUGUCUUAGUUGAUCAGACAGAGGAUGAGUGAAAAACCCAAGCUGAAUUCUCCCCUCUGCCACCAUUCUCCUGUCUGAGUCUGGUAAGUCAGUUUGUUUGGAUUUUACUUCACUUUCUGUGAAGAAACAAAUCUCCUAGGCUUUCUUUAUACUUAAAGGAAGCAAGGCAAUACCUCUAAAAGACAAUUCAUUCCAAUUAUCUGGGGAUAAUGAGUCAUUUUCUGGUGAUUCUGGGAUGCUGAUUUCCACAAUUUUUUUUACAGCAAAACCAGCUGAACUAGUUUACAAUAAAACUAAGGAUAGUGGAAGCUUGACAGCAAUGAUAGGAAUGGACAGAAUGCUUAAACCUACAGAAAUAAACAGCCCAUUCUCACAGUGGCUGUCAAAAUAAACAACAAAUAUGUUUGAAGUUAUACUAUACAGCUUAAAGAAAGAUUCUGUAGCGGCUAAGAAACAUUACAGUCUAGGUUCCACUGAUAGCUCAGGAAAGCUACUAACCCAUUCAUUUCAUAGAGUAGGUGAUAGUCAACACAUUAAGUGGAGGUUGUAUUUCUCAUUCUCUUCCUCUUCUACUUCUUGUUACUUCCAAAGGCAGAAAAUGGUAUGAAACUUUCAGUUUAACCCAGUGUGGCAUCUCUUUUCAAGCUAUCGCUCACCAUUUUCUCGUGGUGUCCCUGAGGCUCCUCGGGCGCUGUCUCUUGAGCCCACGUGGAGGUGGAUCCACCUCCAUUGGCAGUUGCUCUUCUGGAGGUGCAUCCACUUCCAUUGGUUGUUCUUCAUAUUGAGGUUCAUCCACCUCCAUGGGCUCCAUGGAUUCUUCAUCUAUUUGCAUCGGCUCCACUUUCCAUCUCCUCCCCAUCAGGCUUAUUUUCUUUUGGGGAGGAGGAUCCAUUAGUACCUGGUGAGCUCUUUCUGUGUCUCCUGCAUCUUGCUGCUCUGCCACUGGUACGGCAGUUGGAGGGCUCAGAACUCUAGGCAGUGACAUCAGCAGUGUUCUGUGGCAACCCAAAAACGACAGUUUUUGGAGUUGGGGCCUAUGGCUUGAGAAUUGCCCCAGUUUUGAAGGAGAAGGAAGGACAUGGAGUACUGAGUAUUGGAGCCCAGGAAGGGCUCACCUGUUCCAUUGUGCUUGCCAGAGAGAAUUUGGGCAAAAGGCCCUUCUUCAUCCCGUACCUCAAAUCCAUUUGUACUGAUGGGUGGCAGGAUCAUGCCAGGAGGGUCCUCUACCUGGCAGCUGCCUGGCUGCCUGCAAGUGGAGGCAGCCUGUUGCCCAACAGUAGUGGAGAGGGGACAGACACUCCUCAGGAAGCCCAGGGACAUGCAGUCAAUAAAGAACUGCUGAAUUUCAAGUGUGAUGUGAGUUCUCUUUUCCUGACCUUCACACUUGCCACGUAGCAUGAAGGAGGUGGCAUUUCUGC